GCCUGGUACCAAGGUGCAAAGCUACUUGCAGCAGCAGCGUGCGCCAGCAAGAUAGCAGAAGCAGGAAGAGAGCCAGCCGGAAGACAUGUACCUCUGAAGAUCAAGAAAGAGGCUAUCCAGAAGAGAACAGCAUCAGGGCACAUUGAGGCUCAGAAAUUUAUAUUCCAAGAAGAGGUGCACAGGAACAGAGCAGAUCCAAAGCAGACAACCACCUGGAAGCAGUCAUAACAACAGCAAUAGCAAAUCAAUGCUGACUCCAACACUAAGCAUUCACCUGGAGAUAACCUACAGAGAUACUCUGUGUUACCCACAACUAGUCUGUUGACUAAGUUGGUGAAUAUAUUUGGGAAAAGCCCAUGUGGAAGAAUGGAAGCCUGCAUUAUCUUUCUCAGAGACAGACAGGAAGGUGACUCUAUGGAAGACAUCAGCGAUAAACUAGGAAGGAGUGACACGGUAAGUGAAAAUAGAGAUAUGCAGUGUGAGAGAGAAAUUCUGCUUAUUUUUUCUUAAUAAAAGAAAAAUGAGAAUAUAAAGAGGAG
rnacentral:lncRNA from 10 species